AUUGAACGCUGGCGGCAGGCCUAACACAUGCAAGUCGAACGGUAACAGGAAGAAGCUUGCUUCUUUGCUGACGAGUGGCGGCCGGGUGAGUAAUGUCUGGGAAACUGCCUGAUGGAGGGGGAUAACUACUGGAAACGGUAGCUAAUACCGCAUAACGUCGCAAGCCCAAAGAGGGGGACCUUCGGGCCUCUUGCCAUCGGAUGUGCCCAGAUGGGAUUAGCUAGUAGGUGGGGUAACGGCUCACCUAGGCGACGAUCCCUAGCUGGUCUGAGAGGAUGACCAGCCAGACUGGAACUGAGACACGGUCCAGACUCCUACGGGAGGCAGCAGUGGGGAAUAUUGCACAAUGGGCGCAAGCCUGAUGCAGCCAUGCCGCGUGUAUGAAGAAGGCCUUCGGGUUGUAAAGUACUUUCAGCGGGGAGGAAGGGAGUAAAGUUAAUACCUUGGCUCAUUGACGUUACCCGCAGAAGAAGCACCGGCUAACUCCGUG
rnacentral:rRNA from 1 species